GUGAUGAGAGUCAAAUGCUCUGUUCCCACCAUUAUCAUUUGCUACCUAUGGGAAGUGAGAAAGCGUGACCUAGGUCAUGAGAGUGGGAGACCAGACUCUGUUCCUCAUUUGCCACAGCAUUCAGGAGAGCUGGCACUUGCUGCAGGUUGACAGCGGAACCCAGACACUUAGGGUAUGGCAUUAGAAAGCCAUGGUUCUUAGAAAUUCAGAUACCUCUCAGGCCUGGAUGCAGGGCUUAAAAUUGGCCCACCCAAACAUCUAUUCCACUGAUGAACUGUUGGAAUACAUGGUCAUACAGUACCUUCCUGACAGAGGGCAACAGCUUGGUUGGUUUGUAAGUGCUUUGGUGGAGUGCAUAGUGGAAGUGAACAUUUUCUAUUCCAGAGCCUAAUUCAAGUGUACAAUUUGUAUCUUGUCCUUUUAGAGACUACCACUUAACUAUGAGUGCCCUGAGACCAUUCUGUGUGACAAGAAAUAUACAGAAAGAGAGAAGGGGAAGCAAGAAAAUGGUACCCUCAGCACCCUCGUUGACACAGCACUAUAUAAAGGCCAGGUGUUUUGAAGCUGAAAACAAUCCAGAGGACCCACAAGAGAAGAUUGGAUACAGAAAACUGUACACAUUCUAUACACAAUGAAAUAUUAGUCAGUUAUUACCAA